rnacentral:rRNA from 1 species
UCCGUAGGUGGAUAAUUAAGUCAGAGGUGAAAUCCUGCAGCUCAACUGUAGAAUUGCCUUUGAUACUGGUUAUCUUGAGUUAUUAUGAAGUAGUUAGAAUAUGUAGUGUAGCGGUGAAAUGCAUAGAUAUUACAUAGAAUACCAAUUGCGAAGGCAGAUUACUAAUAAUCAACUGACACUGAUGGGCGAAAGCGUGGGGAGCGAACAGGAUUAGAUACCCUGGUAGUCC